AGAGUUUGAUCCUGGCUCAGAUUGAACGCUGGCGGCAGGCUUAACACAUGCAAGUCGAGCGGGGAAGUAUAGCUUGCUAUACGACCUAGCGGCGGACGGGUGAGUAAUGCUUAGGAAUCUGCCUAUUAGUGGGGGACAACAUUCCGAAAGGAAUGCUAAUACCGCAUACGCCCUACGGGGGAAAGCAGGGGAUCUUCGGACCUUGCGCAAAUAGAUGAGCCUAAGUCAGAUUAGCUAGUUGGUGGGGUAAAGGCCUACCAAGGCGACGAUCUGUAGCGGGUCUGAGAGGAUGAUCCGCCACACUGGGACUGAGACACGGCCCAGACUCCUACGGGAGGCAGGCAGUGGGGAAUAUUGGACAAUGGGCNCAAGCCUGAUCC
rnacentral:rRNA from 1 species